rnacentral:lncRNA from 1 species
CCCAUGGGCAGCACACGUCUACAUUGCGGUCUACAUUGGCACACUGUUGUUUAUAAAAUAUUACAAAAACAUACUUGGAGAUUGAGAAGUGAAUACUGUUUAAAUGAUAAUGAAUGUAGCUCUCCUGUCCCUCCUGGCUAAUACUGCAGUUCUCUCACCUUUUUGAUAUUCUGCUGUCAUCACUUAUCAGAAUCAGAAUGACUUUAUUUAUCCCCGAGUGGAAAUUUUUGUUACAGACAAAUAGAAAUCAAAGAUAAAUUGAAAUAUAUAAUAAAUACCUAGAUAGCAUUUAAAUCCCUGAAUUGUAUCAGAGGUGCGGGCAGGGCCAUCUAGAUGAGCUGUGGGGGAAGAGAGGGCAGGUGAAGUGGCUGGUCGUUGUCGCUCAGCUGCUGAAGAGCCAUUAGCAGGGUCAAUUGGGGUCCCUGUAUCAAAUCUGUUAAAAAAACAGAUUAAGCUCAUUCAUGGUGUAUGAAAUGUAAGUAAAAGGAAAAGAUUUAAAAUGUAAUGUAAACAAAGAUUUGCAUAUCAUUUACACCGUAUAUUUGACAUCAAAUUUUUUCCUGUAGCAGUCAUCGCACCAUCACCAUCUUAAUAUCGCACUGCAGGAAUACAUCCUCAAGGUGUUAGACUGUGAAGUGUGACAUAUCUGACACAAUCCUUUCCACUCUUGCUUUCACUAAAUAUGACAUGAUGCCCUCUGCUGGAAGGAAAAGAAAAGGCCUUUUUUAUGCCAGUUUUGCAGAGGAAUGCCUUAAUGUUUACUGCAGAAUGCUGCCCAGGAUAAUGGUGAUAUACACUUCCCAGCAUGCAACAAGAGUGAACUGGGACUCUGGAGACUGAGAGAGGGGGAUACUCUUCUAUUCUACAAUGGUUGCCGUCAUCCAACAAACAUGUCCCCAUUGUGUCGGGCCAGCAGUCCGCUAUUUUCCUCUCUCAGGUGGUGAGUGUUCCUGGCAGCCGACCUCCCAGACUGAGGAACAGGGUGAUGGAAAGAGGGCAGGGCUCCCUGUUCAAGAGGCAGUUUGA